AUUGAACGCUGGCGGAAUGCUUUACACAUGCAAGUCGAACGGCAGCACGGACUUCGGUCUGGUGGCGAGUGGCGAACGGGUGAGUAAUGUAUCGGAACGUGCCCAGUCGUGGGGGAUAACGUAGUGAAAAUUACGCUAAUACCGCAUACGAACUAUGGAUGAAAGCGGGGGAUCGCAAGACAUCGCGCGAUUGGAGCGGCCGAUAUCAGAUUAGGUAGUUGGUGGGGUAAAGGCCCACCAAGCCAACGAUCUGUAGCUGGUCUGAGAGGACGACCAGCCACACUGGAACUGAGACACGGUCCAGACUCCUACGGGAGGCAGCAGUGGGGAAUUUUGGACAAUGGGCGAAAGCCUGAUCCAGCCAUUCCGCGUGCAGGAUGAAGGCCCUCGGGUUGUAAACUGCUUUUGUACAGAACGAAAAGGUUUCUACUAAUACUAGGAGCUCAUGACGGUACUGUAAGAAUAAGCACCGGCUAACUACGUGCCAGCAGCCGCAGUAA
rnacentral:rRNA from 1 species